UACGAAGGGGGCUAGCGUUGUUCGGAAUUACUGGGCGUAAAGCGCACGUAGGCGGAUAUUUAAGUCAGGGGUGAAAUCCCAGAGCUCAACUUUGGAACUGCCUUUGAUACUGGGUAUCUUGAGUAUGGAAGAGGUAAGUGGAAUUGCGAGUGUAGAGGUGAAAUUCGUAGAUAUUCGCAGGAACACCAGUGGCGAAGGCGGCUUACUGGUCCAUAACUGACGCUGAGGUGCGAAAGCGUGGGGAGCAAACAGG
rnacentral:rRNA from 1 species